rnacentral:misc_RNA from 1 species
AAGUCGUAACAAGGUUUCCGUAGGUGAACCUGCGGAAGGAUCAUUAUUGAAUGAACUUGGUGUGAUUGUUGCUGAUCCUUCUGGGAUAUGUGCACAUCUGCCAUCUUUAUCUCUCCACCUGUGCACACUUUGUAGGUCUAGAAUAACUCUCUGAGGCAACUCAGAUGUGAGAACUGCUACUGUGAGGUAGCUUUUCUUGUGUUUCUAGAUCUAUGUUUUCAUAUACACCAUAAGAAUGUAACAGAAUGUAUUAAUGGGUCUUGUACCUAUAAACUAUAUACAACUUUCAGCAACGGAUCUCUUGGCUCUC